rnacentral:rRNA from 1 species
UAUCUGGUUGAUCCUGCCAGUAGUCAUACGCUCGUCUCAAAGAUUAAGCCAUGCAUGUGUAAGAAUAAAUAGUUAACUUUGAAACUGCGAAUGGCUCGUUAUAUCAGUUAUAGUUUAUUUGAUGAAGAAUACUAAUUGGAUAACCGUAGUAAUUCUAGAGUUAAUACAUGUAUAAAGUCUUGUAGACUGCAUUUAUUAGUGAAAACCAUAGGUUUCGGCCUAUUCGUGAGUAACGAUAACUAAUCAUAUCGUAUGCUUAUGUAACGAUGUGUCUUUCAAGUUUCUCCGUAUCAGCUUUCGAUGGUAGUGUAUUGGACUACCAUGGCAGUAACGGGUAACGAAGAAUUUGGGUUCGAUUUCGGAGAGGGAGCCUGAGAGAUGGCUACCACAUCCAAGGAAGGCAGCGGGGGCGUAAAUUACCCAAUCCUGACACAGGGAGGUAGUGACAAUAAAUCACAAUGCGGAACAAUGUUUUGCAAUUGGAUUGAGAACAACGUACAUACGUUAUCGAUAAACAAUUGGAGG